GGGGUAGUACUGGUUUCGACAGGGAGCCUGAAGCUGGAGAAGCUAUCCGAAGGAUGGUUGCGUUAAACCUCAAACUAAAUUUAAACGCAGACGAUAGUUACGCGUUAGCAGCUGCCUAAGCGCAGCCGCCGUCGGCCCGGUUCUACCUGUGGUCCCGGAUACCGGCGUCAUCAUCACAGGAAACGGUAGCGGCAAAGGCUUGAGCCGUUAUACGUAUCAUUAGUCUACUGAAACCUUAAGGCUGUGCAUUGCCGUAGGGUAGAGGGAAUGUAAAAUAAUGUACUAUGAUAGUAGAAGGACAGGGGACGGUUUUUUGGACAGGGGUUCGACUCCCCUCUACUCCACU
rnacentral:tmRNA from 1 species